GACGAACGCUGGCGGCGUGCUUAACACAUGCAAGUCGAACGGAAAGGCCCUGCUUUUGUGGGGUGCUCGAGUGGCGAACGGGUGAGUAACACGUGAGUAACCUGCCCUUGACUUUGGGAUAACUUCAGGAAACUGGGGCUAAUACCGGAUAGGAGCUCCUGCUGCAUGGUGGGGGUUGGAAAGUUUCGGCGGUUGGGGAUGGACUCGCGGCUUAUCAGCUUGUUGGUGGGGUAGUGGCUUACCAAGGCUUUGACGGGUAGCCGGCCUGAGAGGGUGACCGGCCACCUUGGGACUGCGAUACGGCCCAGACUCCUACGGGAGGCAGCGGUGGGGAAUAUUGCACAAUGGGCGGAAGCCUGAUGCAGCAACGCCGCGUGCGGGAUGACGGCCUUCGGGUUGUAAACCGCUUUCGCCUGUGACGAAGCGUGAGUGACGGUAAUGGGUAAAGAAGCACCGGCUAACUACGUG
rnacentral:rRNA from 1 species